GUAGGUAUAGGUCAGUGGUGGAGCGCAUGUUUAGCAUGGAUGAGGUCCUGGGUUCAAUCCCCAGUACCUCUA
rfam:Camelus ferus unplaced genomic scaffold scaffold632, whole genome shotgun sequence.